rnacentral:rRNA from 1 species
AUGGCCAAAAAGAAGAAGGCGGCCCGGAACCGGGGCAGGAAUCGUGCGGGCAUGGAGGCGGAGACGGAGGGUUCAGCUGGGCGCGCGCCCCACUUCCACGGACACGGCGCCCCCUUUGACGUCCGCCGCGGCCAAGAAAACGGAGCCCACCCUGGGGGCGCCCGCGCCGGCCAAGAAGCUAUCCCGCCCCAUGGCACAGCACAGAAGAUUGUUGAGCUCCUACGCCGGGCAGAGGCUUUCCUGGGGAGGAACGGCAGCGCCGGCGACGAUACGUCGGACGCCUCCAGCAGCGCCGGCAAUGGCGGCGUGGAGGCUCUGGUGGGCGAACGCUCGCGGGAUCAGCUUCGUGGGCACCAAGGCAAUCACCCACCGCCCAAGCAUCCUACACGGGGUCAGGCUAUUCUGUACACCUUUGGCAACCUGGACAUGAAUAAGAGACACUCUGCCGAGAAGGAAGCGCCCUGA